rnacentral:rRNA from 1 species
UGGGGAAUUUUGGACAAUGGGCGCAAGCCUGAUCCAGCAAUGCCGCGUGCAGGAUGAAGGCCUUCGGGUUGUAAACUGCUUUUGUACGGAGCGAAAAGGUCUGCCCUAAUACGGUGGGCUCAUGACGGUACCGUAAGAAUAAGCACCGGCUAACUACGUGCCAGCAGCCGCGGUAAUACGUAGGGUGCGAGCGUUAAUCGGAAUUACUGAGCGUAAAGCGUGCGCAGGCGGUUAUAUAAGACAGGUGUGAAAUCCCCGGGCUCAACCUGGGACCUGCAUUUGUGACUGUAUAGCUAGAGUACGGUAGAGGGGGAUGGAAUUCCGCGUGUAGCAGUGAAAUGCGUAGAUAUGCGGAGGAACACCGAUGGCGAAGGCAAUCCCCUGGACCUGUACUGACGCUCAUGCACGAAAGCGUGGGGAGCAAACA